UAAUACGAAGGGGGCUAGCGUUGUUCGGAAUCACUGGGCGUAAAGCGCACGUAGGCGGAUUUGUUAGUCAGGGGUGAAAUCCCGGGGCUCAACCUCGGAACUGCCUUUGAUACUGCAAAUCUCGAGUCCGGAAGAGGUGAGUGGAAUUCCUAGUGUAGAGGUGAAAUUCGUAGAUAUUAGGAAGAACACCAGUGGCGAAGGCGGCUCACUGGUCCGGUACUGACGCUGAGGUGCGAAAGCGUGGGGAGCAAACAGG
rnacentral:rRNA from 1 species